rnacentral:misc_RNA from 1 species
UUUCCGUAGGUGAACCUGCGGAAGGAUCAUUCAUAAUAAGUGUUUUAUGGCACUUUUUUAAAUCCAUAUCCACCUUGUGUGCAAUGUCAGGUUUGAUUUUUCCCACGAGAGGAUCAACUCCAAACAGCAACUAUAUCUCAACUCUUUGUCUGAAAAAUAUUGUGAACAAAACAAUUCAAAAUACAACUUUCAACAACGGAUCUCUUGGCUCUC